GGGCAACCGACCUCGCGGGGUUUCCCUUUUUAGUACGCUCGAAGGAGGUAACUUCAACAGUGGAGGCUGCUUCUGGCUCCUCAGCAUCGUUGAUGGUAACCAGUCCUACAAUUCUCAUUAGACCUGAGGGCACGUGACCCAGGAAUGUGCAUCCAAAGAUAAUACUACCUUCAGAGAACUC